rnacentral:tRNA from 1 species
GGGGUUGUGGCUCAGUGGUAGAGUGCCCGCCUAACAUGCAGGAGGCACUGGGUUCAAUCCUCAGCACCA